UGCCUUCGUUCUACCAUGCUGCUGGCAUCUUUGGAAGCUGAAACUAGUGGCUACUCUAGGGUGUAGUACACCUAAGUUUGCAAAAAAUUGAAAAUAAUGUGAUCAAACAUUAUGCAAAAAAAAAAAAAAGAGAAAUUUGGGACAUCAAAUAGUAUCAGAUUUGUGAGGUUCUUGCAAAAUUUCAUCGAAAAAUAACAUCCGAGGAGCUCUAAAAUAACAAAAUCACUACUCAAAAAGUGCACACAACUUUCAGCAGCGAUUUUAUUUUUGUUUUGAUGAAACUUGGCAAGAAUCUCAAUCAUAUGAUAAUGUUUGAUGUAGAACCAUCUAUGAUUUUCUGGAUUUCGUUUAAUAAACAUUUUUCAACUUUUUUGCUAACUCGGGUGUAGUACACCCGAGAGUAGAAAAUCAUGUCUACUUUAAAAGCAUCAAAACAAUGUCAUGUUAUGGGGUCAGCCGCAGUCUCUUACCCACUUAAGAAAGGAUUGCCGCGAUUACGCUAUCCUCUGGCGACCACCCUAGCCCCACACUCACCGUCCGGUGGUGGACAGGUGGCUAUUGUGCCUUUGUGGCGAGGCCCAUUAGUUAUCCUCUGUUCCUACUUUUGAAGUCUGCCUCCCUUUGAAAUAUAUAUUCAGGUGGGGAAUCUCUGCCCUUCGGUGACAUUCAAAAAAAAAUCCCUUUGCCAAAACAAAUGUCAUCUGUACGCCACCAUACGACCUUCCAAUGAGGCCAGAAUCCGAGGUCACGAUCAUGACCUUUCGUGCCUCGGUUGCGAGCGAGAAGAGCACAAAUAUGGGGCUGCGAAAUGAUAGGUCCAUGUUGAGCAUCCAUGGAAGCUCAUGGCUUUGCUGAUACGCCGAUGGAGGCCAGCAAUACCAUCCAAGCGGUUUCCCAAGCUCCAUGACACUUGAUAUUCAUGGAAUCGGCGUGUUUGAGACAUCGGCCAUCGAACUUGAACUUGUUGGUGCAUGGAACUCACGUUUCAGCAGCACUUUGGUUUGUGGAUGGUUGUGAAAUGAAAGCUUUUUAUAAACUUAUAUGAACUUCAAUGGCGAAAGAAAGAGAAGCUUGCCAUAAUAAAGCACAACCUUUCGCACUCCAAUAGUCAUACAUAGUUGUAAGGUUAUGCCCGAUGGUGUCAAAAAUGCCGGUGCUACAUAUGAACGCGCCAUAGGCCCAUGACUAAUAUCCUGGAUGAUAUAAUACAAAAGAUGGUCGAGUACUAUGUACAUGAUCUCGGCCGGGGGUCAUCCUCCUUUUCAAAAACAUGUACAUGAUCUCGUAGUAAAGGUGGUAUAUCCGGCCUUCACUUGCACAAUCGUGUGAAAAAAGUCUGUGUUGCUCUGUUUCAGUAUUCAUUUAGUUAUCUUCAUCAAAUUAGUAUUUCUGUUCAACAGCAGACCCAUUUGAACUUGUUGCCAUUCUUUUCAUGUGAGUUGGCUUUAAGAAAACAUAGUAUUUUCCAUCAUUUAGUUUUCGGCAAGGAAUCAUACACGAGAAAUGCAAUUAGGAUGUCACAUGACUGAAAAGACAUGAUUGAGUGGCUUGCUUAAGGCAUAUCCCAUGCUCACAGUUUAUUUAUCUAUUUCCUAGAAAGAGGUAACGAAGAAAUACAUGCAUAGAAAUCCUAUAUAUACUCCACUGUCUUAGGAUGACAACAUGAAUGCGAUGUGUUUCUAGAUUUGCUUCUCUCUUUGUCCAGCUGCAGUCAUCUAAAAUAUUGGAGGAAAACAAAUAUUGGAGUAUACAUGUUGUUGGAGUUAAUCGCGACUAAUCCCCCAACCGCGAGUGUGUCCAGUUCAGGAUACAUGUACGUAUCCGAAUAGAGCUAGAAUUAGUCACCGAGUAGUAUUGGCUGGCUAGCUUGUUCUAUUUAUACAUACGUACCCGGCUUGUAAACCGUAUCAAUUGAAAGCAAUACAAAGAUAUUGACGGGAGCGACACGCUCCCGUGGCGAUCAACUCGGCGUGUCUUCGUGCAGUUCUCGCGUGUGUUGUUCCGACGAAUCGGAUCGAUCAAAUAAGUGGUUGUUGUACGUCCGUGUUCGCUAGUACGUAGAAGCUAGCUUUCCAGGAUCCAUCCACGAGCUUGUGUGCGUACUUGUGUUAAGUACGUGUGCAUCCAGGUCAACUUUCUGUUAUACGGUGCAGCUCGGCGUAAAGUAUCUCGACGAGAUUGCAUCGGCAGGGAGUGGUUCAAGUCACCGUUGCUGUGCUUCGUCGUCGUUUGUCGUCGGUCGUCGCGUGUCGUGGGAAAGUACUCCACGC
rnacentral:lncRNA from 1 species